UACGUAGGGGGCUAGCGUUGUCCGGAAUCAUUGGGCGUAAAGCGCGUGUAGGCGGCCCGAUAAGUCCGCUGUGAAAGUCCAGGGCUCAACCCUGGGAUGCCGGUGGAUACUGUCGGGCUCGAGUCCGGAAGAGGCGAGUGGAAUUCCUGGUGUAGCGGUGAAAUGCGCAGAUAUCAGGAGGAACACCAAUGGCGAAGGCAGCUCGCUGGGACGUGACUGACGCUGAGACGCGAAGGCGUGGGGAGCAAACAGG
rnacentral:rRNA from 1 species